AUGAGGCAGCCAAUUCAGCUAUUCAGAUUUUUUUUAAAAAAAAGAUGGCAAACGAUUUGCUAUUUUCUGAGCCCAUUUUUCAAAUUUCAUUUAAAAAGAAAAUCUCCAGCGGUGCUCUGGCAACAUUUCCUGGAGGGAGGAAAUGAGUUGGCUAGGUCAGAGCUGCACCUGUGUGUCUGUGGGGCAGGAUACCCCUCCUGGGCCUGCAGCCGAGCCUCAGCCCAGUACCUGAGCAGAGCCCGAGGUAAUCACAGCCUUUCAAGCAUAUUUUGGACCUGAAGCGUUGGUGUUUGUUGAUGAAUAAUUGGGAUGCAUGGAAUCCCUUUGCUGUCCCCCUAAAUUCCCUAUCCUUGUACUCUGGGUAGACAAAGAGGGUAAGAAGCCACUACUGUGACUUCCAAUACUCUGGGGCCCCUGGAGAAAGGGAUUUUUUUUCUUCCAGUUAGUUUUGCUGCAGGGCCUUGCUACCAAAUCGGAUUUCACGAAAUUUUGAAAAAAAGCAAACUCUACGUCACAGAAAGAGCAUUGACAAGUUGAGGUUCAUUUACUGGUUGUUUUGAUUUGGUUUUGAAGCUUUUAAAAGAGUGGUCACAGAGAGAAGCAAGCGCUGGAACUCGGUGGAGACCAGCCACCACUGCAAGCUGUCAAUUUCUGCCCUCUCCACAGGACAAGGAGGUCCCUGCAGAUUUCUCCCCUGGAGCCCCUCACUGCUCAGUCCCCUUCAGGCCUUGAGAGUUUUCCAAGUCUUAUCCCCUGUCCUAUUUUAGCAAGUACUUGGCAAUAAACGGGCGGGGCAGGGCAGGGCAAAGUUCUAGAAACCGGAGAGCAGAAAACCCCUAAAACCCGCAUCAAGCAGACAGACAGUCCAGGGAGUGACAGGGGACUAGGCUGGUUUGGAGGAGUUCAGGGCGCUCAGCUCUGCCUAGGCAGGUUGCUAGGAGCCGCAGCCAGAGCCCUUGACUGGGCUCUGGGCUCUAGCGGCCCUGGUUGGUUUAGGCGUUGGCUUCCAGUCCUGGCCACCGGCUAGAGCGAAGGGCACCGAGACCCGGGAGCCUUCUCUCCACGCGAACAGAGUCUGUGCAAGUUCCUUCGCCUCAUAUAUUGUUUCCCUUCCCUUUUAUCCGCCCCUGGCCGUGUUUCUUUUUAGGACAGAGGGGAUACAAACUGUUUGAAGUUCAUCAGCACGGUGAAGUUUUAUUGUAUUUCCAGUCCCCAAGAUUUACACCCCCGGAGGAGAAGCCGGCAGCCAGGCAGACUCCCUCCUUACCUCCGACUUCCACUCCGGACACGGACACGAGACUGCCACUCGCCUUCGGGUGCAGGAAGGGAGCUAGCCGGGUCCAGCCGGCUCGUUCCCACGCCCAGUGCGGGGGGCCCCCUCACCAGCUCAGUUCUUCUUGGAUCUUCUGUCCUGUCUACUCUCCCGUCUCAAGGCUGGGGUUGGUGUACAGUUGGAAGAUUUGACCUUUCAGAGAUGCCUGGGAGUCUGGGUAACCCUGGGGCCCAGGGACUGGCCAGAUGCUCCUGAAGGAUCAAGAGAAGAGCCUAGUCAUGUAAAUCUCCCCAAACUGUGCCCUGAACCCCCUCCGAAGAGGAUAACUGUCCUAUAAAAUCCCCAACUUCUUCACCAUCCUUUUACUUCAUCUCCUGUGGGUCGCUGUGCUGCUGUUGUUUAAUAAACAUCUCUGUCAAGGGGAGGGAGGACAGGAAAUGAGGGCCUGCGGGGUGGAGGUGGAGGUGUUGGGGGGGUGACAAGACUACCUCCUCUUUAAUUACCCUGUCGGGUCUCUCCCGCUGCUCUGAGGCUGGGGCGCUCUUCCUCCCUGUAUGCAGGUCCUCCUCCCCCUCCCUCUCCAACCCGCCUGGGGAGAGGGCUCUGCAGCCUCAGUCCCUCUAGAGGCAGCCUGCCGCUUGCCUCCGCCUCUCCUCCGCCCCCAUCGCCCCGUGUUGAGAACCCCCCUUCCUGCAAAAGCGGGAGGGGCCCCGGGCGGCCGGGCAGCUCUGGCUGAGGUUACGUGGCCGCCGGAGCCCUGACGUGAUAGCACAUUGCAUCAGCAUAAAACAAUCCAUCCUGGAUAUGGAAUGCGGUGAGGACGGAUGACAGCGAGAGCGCAGCCCCCUCGCCCGAUUGAUUUAUGUCGGAGCUGACGCUUUAUCAGGCAGUCCGCAAAACUUUGACCAAUCAUUUUGCAAGAAGCUCCGAGCCGGGCUGCUCCACUGUACUUUGUUGGCUGAGAAGUUAAG